UGCAGCUUCUGCUGGUGGGAAGGCCGAAUGGCAGAGCCCAGGGAAGUUAUGUAACGGGCCCAGCUAAUGAGUGGCAGAGGCCAGAGGGCUUGGCCUGCGGAACUGUCUAAGGUCAGAGGCCGUCCAUACACUCUUUCCACAUAGGAACAUCUCCUGAAGGGGAAGCGGGCUCUUCUAAGAGGCACAGGGAUAAUGUCAAAAUCCUGUCCUCAGAUUGAGAGGCUGUUUCGUGGGCACCGAAUUCUGGGUCAGGAAAGCAGCCUGCAUCCACGAGUAUCCUUGGGUUACUAAGUGGGGCCAGUGGCUCCAGGUGUAACCGAUUUAAGUUUGCCAGACAGCUGGAAUGUUCUGGUGAAGGACCUGAAGUGUACGGCCACACCGGUCCCAGAAGAGCCUGGGAGAAGGGAGGAUGGUGAACACAGCGGAGUUCUGCUGCAAAGCCGAAGAUGGUCCUGGCGCGUGGCAUGACUCACCUGACCCAACAUCAGGAGAUCUGACUUCAUAAAAGUGAACUAUCACAAUGCUUCUUUGCAAGCUGUGUGUGUGCGUAAAAGCGUUGAAACUUCCUUAAUAAAUGAAAAGAUAUCUUU
rnacentral:lncRNA from 1 species